CACGUAGGGUGCGAGCGUUGUCCGGAAUUAUUGGGCGUAAAGAGCUCGUAGGCGGUGUGUCGCGUCGGCCGUGAAAACCUGCAGCUUAACUGCGGGCUUGCGGUUGAUACGGGCGCGCUAGAGUUCGGUAGGGGAGACUGGAAUUCCUGGUGUAGCGGUGAAAUGCGCAGAUAUCAGGAGGAACACCGGUGGCGAAGGCGGGUCUCUGGGCAGUAACUGACGCUGAGGAGCGAAAGCGUGGGGAGCGAACAGG
rnacentral:rRNA from 1 species